AGAGUUUGAUCCUGGCUCAGAUUGAACGCUGGCGGCAGGCCUAACACAUGCAAGUCGAGCGGCAGCGGGAGGAAGCUUGCUUCCUCGCCGGCGAGCGGCGGACGGGUGAGUAAUGUCUGGGGAUCUGCCCGAUGGAGGGGGAUAACCACUGGAAACGGUGGCUAAUACCGCAUAACGUCGCAAGACCAAAGUGGGGGACCUUCGGGCCUCACACCAUCGGAUGAACCCAGAUGGGAUUAGCUAGUAGGUGGGGUAAUGGCUCACCUAGGCGACGAUCCCUAGCUGGUCUGAGAGGAUGACCAGCCACACUGGAACUGAGACACGGUCCAGACUCCUACGGGAGGCAGCAGUGGGGAAUAUUGCACAAUGGGCGCAAGCCUGAUGCAGCCAUGCCGCGUGUGUGAAGAAGGCCUUCGGGUUGUAAAGCACUUUCAGCGAGGAGGAAGGUGGUGAACUUAAUACGUUCAUCAAUUGACGUUACUCGCAGAAGAAGCACCGGCUAACUCCGUGCCAGCAGCCGCGGU
rnacentral:rRNA from 1 species